rnacentral:siRNA from 1 species
CACAAAGGUUAGUAAACAUUGAUC